AAAUAUUGGGUUGCUUUGUGGCCAGUCAAUGUAGGUGGUUUAACGAUUUUCAGUCAUUAAUAUAUGCGUUUCGGUGAUAUACUUCCUAGUGACUGUACAGUUUGAUAACAGUUUGUAGAUUGGAUUUACAGUGCACAGCAGGUGUAGUUUUGACAAAAUUCGCAGUUUCAUACCGUUCAGUUUUUGUUUUUCGUUUGCUACAACUAAAUAACACAAAAAGAAAACGAUCCGUGCCACUGCAAAGAAAUAUGCCGGUUCGUAAAGAAUCAAUGGAAAAUAACUUCUAAACCGCAAUAAGUACUUCAAAAAAGGAAGGAAUGUAUAGAGCAGACAAUUGGGUAAUACCAGUUCUUUUAAUUCUUUUCGGCAUAAAUGGAAGCCUAGUCUCGUUCGUGGGAUAUGUGACUUACCAAGAAAGGGAAUCACUGCAUUUAAAUAAGGCAAGUAUAACCGAAUUUCCAGUGCCUUGUGAAGACCUCUCAUUGAGUGCGGACGAAGAUUGUCUAACGUUUGAUGUGAAGAAAGGCGAUUUGAGAACUUUCAUAGAUCACGCAGGAAAAUACAUAUGUAGCAAAGACAACGCAACAGAAACCGUUCAAACGGUUGUAGAAAGGGAAGCCAGAUUUCGAUUAGCAAAAGACACAGUUUUUGUUCCCGGCGUACAUGGAAUAUUCAUGGAUGGUCUGUCAAGGAUGGCUUGGAAACGUUAGGCUGUAUACAGCAAUAUAUGUCAAUAAGGUUUAGAUGAGCAAUAUCUUUCCUGUGGAAAUGAAAGCUUAGCGGAGAAGUCUGGAUAUCUGACCGUGUUCUUCUCAGAAAUAUCAAAACAUCAAAACCUUUCAGGUGUAAGUUCUGAUACAAAACUUCGCUGGAAUCAACAUUCAGCAAACUGUCAUAUUGACCCUUCAGUGUAUUAUGACAAAGGGGAGGUGAUCACACCAGAAGGAAGGACAUACUUUGUGUACGCAUCUGCACAUUUCAACAUCAGCCGACAAGGAGAAAAUGGGAUCAAGAAUUUUGGAAGACCGCGAAAAUUUUCAAUCCGAAUUUGCAAGAGCGUGUACGGAUAUGAGCAAACAUUACUUGGAAGAAGAGCAUUGUUCAACACGACCAAAACGGAAAAUGUUGUGUCAAGUUUACGCAUCGGAAGCCAUUUGGAAUUGUCACGAAAUGAUAAAAUUUAUGUCCGUGUUAGUAACGCAGAUAUGAUGAUACAUAAUUCAACAGGAAAUAACUUUGGACUUUUCCCAUUAUAGAUUUCUGCUUGUGAGUAUGCUUUUUAGUUUAUGGUUUGAAUUUCAAGAAAAAUGUUUGCCGUGAAUGUUUCCUAAACAUGAGAGGUAUUGAAUGUGCCAUAACGUUUACAGAUGAUAGAGCGGAAGUCUAGUUGAUGGAAUAGAAAGAAGUUCGAGCUAGCCAUACUGCUAGAGAUGUUAUGCAGAAUGAUGACCAGUGUCCUUAUUCAUCAGCGUUUUAAGCCUGAGAUUUGACUUAGAUUUUAAAAGUAAAAACAAUCGAAUUGCCAUAACUUCCUUCGUAAUAACGGUAUACUGCAGAAACUGUGCGUACCUUUUUUUUGAGUUGAUGCCAUAUUCGUGCUAAGUAUCAUUAAAUUAAAUAUAGGACAAAAAAAGUUUAGCACUUUAAAGUCUAAGUCUAUUUUUUUUUUACUUUAAACGUUAAUGGAAGAUAGAUAACUGGAGAUUUGUUUAACAGAUUUUGUAAACGCUACGUUAGGAAAAAGGCAGGUAUGAAGCUGCUUCACAGUCAGUUGAAAGAUUUAGUGUGCCCCAUCCUAAUCUCAGGUCAUACGUAUGUGUUAAAGUAUUGACAUUAAGGUGUUAAAGAGGAGAGUACCGGCUUAAAGUAUACAUUGCGGAGAAUUGAAAGAUCGUUUUGAUUCACAAAGAAAAGAACUGGGAAUAUGAAGAGCAUUAAAUAGACAGUAGGUGUCGAAUGCAACUCGGGCUUUGUUCUUCCAGGACAGUCCUUAUCGGUCUUACAGUGUACAGAGAAUUACGGUUGGAGCAUUAAAUUGCGACGUAAAAUUAGUGAGUUAUUAAUUUCAACAGAAGCACGAAAUUCAAGAGCAAGCGGAUAGAAAGCUAUAUAACAUUUGUAACUAUCAAUUGAGGUGGGCAUGGAUACAGUUUGAUUUUGUUUCCAUUGUUGAACUUAUCUUUUCAUCGUUACUUGUGGGGUUUAUUUCAUCACUAGUUCAUUGCUACAUUCAAUUAAAGCUGAUUCACACCAUAUCCUGAAGAUUAUAAAUGAUAAAAUCUCUCAGAAGGUCAUUUGCAAAGAUAGAAUCCAACCAAGCAAAAUAAUAGCAGACUCGGUUUGACAGAGUUAAAAACACAUUCGACUUGACACACGUAACCAUUACAUCUCAAUACAAACAGUUUGGUCAGCGAUUUCAUGUAAGUAUAACUGUGAUACAAAAUGGGAUUUCGAUGAUUUUUAUGAUUCAACUAUGUUUGUCAACAUCUUCUGAGAAACUUCAGCAGAUUUUUGGAUUCUUUCUGUAGGCUUGCUAAAAGGUAUUAUGUUUAACAUCUUUUUUGUCAAACACAUUGUCUAAUUAAACAUUUAAAACUGUGUAUAAAGCAACUGGUAUUAAGCAUAUCAUCAAUUUACCUGUUUUUCCUCUUCAAAGCUUAAAAACUCAGUAAUUUAUAUCAUUUACAUUGCAAAAAGAGCGAUUUAAGAUGACGAAUAUUACCUGAUUGACAGUUGAUUUGAUACUUGGUUUAAACACCAAGUUAAAUACUGACCCAGAUUCAGUUUCGGGAUACGUCUUCAAAAAUAAGUUUUUAUAUCCAGGCAUACACUCGGCUUUAUAUGUUCCUAUGCUUUUUUUCUACAUGUAUCUGAACUAACUAAACCUUUUGUUAAAUACUAUGAAUAUAAACCAAGACGAAAUAACGUAAAUGAUAUGUUCUGAACAUAAGAGAUUCACCUGGCGGGGAUUACUUUUAUUUACAUGUCCCGUGGCUUUGGAACAUGGUGGGGGUAAGAGUGAGGUGGGGUAAGAGUGAGGUUUGGUUCACACCAAAAACCAGUUUAAGCUCCCCAGUGUUGUUUUUGUCGCUGACCGUUCCAAGGCGGUGCUCACUGUGUCGUUUUGUCCUCGUGUGAUUGCUUUAUAUAUAUGUGUGUGUGUGUUUGUAGUAUGCACAUCUGCGUGUUGUGAGUUUCGUUUUUGGGAGACUGCGAUUUUGGAACGUGGCAUUCCCUGUUUGAUAUUUAUCCAAGCUGUUUUAAUAUUAACUUAAAAUUGAAUUGCUGUUUCCUCUCACGUUUCUACAAAAGCAAAAAAACGUGACACAGAAAUAAGUUUACAAUAUUUUACAGAAAUAUUUCAAUUAUUUAAAGAAUAUAUGCCUUAACCAUAAUUUUACUAUGGUUAGUUUCAAGAAAUGCAAUAUCUGCAGUCAAAUGCAUAAAAAAGUAAGUGAUUAUCAAUAAUUAUUUCUCUGAUUUUAAAACUUCUGAGCUUUGUAUACUUUGCUUUAAAUUCUUUUCUGAUUUUUGUCAGACAUUACAAUUUAUUGCAUAUAUUAGUUGUAUAUGUAUAAUAUAUAUAAUCAUUAUAUAAGCAACUCGUAAGGCCAAUGGAAUUAAAAGUGAGAUGAAAACAUUGGUUGAAGGGCUAUUCAGACGUGAUUCAAGACAUCAGUGAAAGUACACCAAAAACACUAUAAGAAAUAAAACAAUAGCAAUAGAAAAAUAUAUAUGUUUGUUGCUAGCAAAGUGUGUAUUGUAACUGUAUCGAUUUUGUUCAAAUUUAGGUUUGUGAAAUAAAGCAUUUGAAUGACUAAACU